rnacentral:rRNA from 1 species
CCUACGUGUGGCAGCAGUGAGGAAUAUUGGUCAAUGGACGCAAGUCUGAACCAGCCAUGCCGCGUGCAGGAUGACGGCUCUAUGAGUGGUAAACUGCUUUAGUACGGGGGUAAACCCCGAUACGUGUAUCGUGUUGAAAGUACCGUACGAAUAAGGAUCGGCUAACUCGGUUCCAGCAGCCGCGGUAAUAAGGAGGAUCCGAGCGUUAUCCGGAUUUAUUGGGUUUAAGGGGUGCGCAGGCGGUUUGAUAAGUUAGAUGUGAAAUGUCGGGGCUCAACCCCGGAAUUGCAUCUAAUACUGUUGGACUAGAGAAUAGUAGCGGUAGGCGGAAUGCAAGGUGUAGCGGUGAAAUGCUUAGAGAUCACACAGAACACCGAUUGCGAAGGCAGCUCACCAAACUAUAUCUGACGUUGAGGCACGAAAGCGUGGGUAGCAAACAGGAUUAGAUACCCGGGUAGUC